rnacentral:rRNA from 1 species
AUUGAACGCUGGCGGCAGGCCUAACACAUGCAAGUCGAACGAGUGGCGGACGGGUGCGUAAUGCCUGGGAAUCUAGCUUAUGGAGGGGGAUAACUCCGGGAAACUGUAGCUAAUACCGCGUACCAUAGGAUGAGCCCAGGUGGGAUUAGGUCGUUGGUGAGGUAAAGGCUCACCAAGCCGACGAUCCCUAGCUGGUCUGAGAGGAUGACCAGCCACACAGGGACUGAGACACGGCCCAGACUCCUACGGGAGGCAGCAGUGGGGAAUAUUGCACAAUGGGGGCAACCUGACGCAGCCAUGCCGCGUGAAGGAAGAAGGCCUUCGGGUUGUAAAGUUCGUUCGGUAGCGAGGCGUUAACUACAGAAGAAGCACCGGCUAACUCCGUGCCAGCAGCCGCGGUAAUAC